rnacentral:rRNA from 1 species
UACGAAGGGGGCUAGCGUUGUUCGGAAUUACUGGGCGUAAAGGGCGCGCAGGCGGCUCUUCAAGUCAGAUGUGAAAGCCCCGGGCUCAACCUGGGAACUGCAUUUGAGACUGGAGAGCUUGAGUUCGGGAGGAGGAGAGCGGAAUUCCCAGUGUAGAGGUGAAAUUCGUAGGAUAAUUGGGAAGAACACCGGUGGCGUAAGGGCGGCUACUCGUGGACCGAUACGUGAC